ACAAAUGCACAAAAGAGAGAAGUUUGGAAGCAAAUACAUGAUACAUUAUCAAAAACAAAAGAACGGAGAGAAGUUUGGAAGCAAAUACAUGAUACAUUAUCAAAAACAAAAGAACGGAGAGAAGUUUGGAAGCAAAUACAUGAUACAUUAUCAAAAACAAAAGCGUGCGAAUAAUAGUUCCAUCAUAGUUAAUAUGUUGAUUUCCAGUCUUCCAAGUUCACAUCUCCAUAGCUCUGUAGCUAUCCUUUUCGAUUCCCUGCACCUUGGUUCAAUAACCACAAGAAAGCUCGAAAUUCUAAUUCCAUUUCUUUAUCUUUACAAUCCAUGAGGUCGGUCAUUUGGGAAGCAAUAUUGUUACUGGAAAGACUCACAAGUCUCGCUCAAC
rnacentral:lncRNA from 1 species